GCCCUGGUGGAUCAAUGCAAAUCGUCCUCUAAAUGUAAUGGCCGAACUUAGCAACAUUUUAGAGGCAGGUGGAGGUUCGAAUCCUCCCUGGGGCA